rnacentral:rRNA from 3 species
UAAGCGACUAAGCGUACACGGUGGAUGCCUAGGCAGUCAGAGGCGAUGAAGGGCGUGCUAAUCUGCGAAAAGCGUCGGUAAGCUGAUAUGAAGCGUUAUAACCGACGAUACCCGAAUGGGGAAACCCAGUGCAAUACGUUGCACUAUCGUUAGAUGAAUACAUAGUCUAACGAGGCGAACCGGGGGAACUGAAACAUCUAAGUACCCCGAGGAAAAGAAAUCAACCGAGAUUCCCCCAGUAGCGGCGAGCGAACGGGGAGGAGCCCAGAGUCUGAAUCAGUUUGUGUGUUAGUGGAAGCGUCUGGAAAGUCGCACGGUACAGGGUGAUAGUCCCGUACACCAAAAUGCACAGGCUGUGAACUCGAUGAGUAGGGCGGGACACGUGACAUCCUGUCUGAAUAUGGGGGGACCAUCCUCCAAGGCUAAAUACUCCUGACUGACCGAUAGUGAACCAGUACCGUGAGGGAAAGGCGAAAAGAACCCCGGCGAGGGGAGUGAAAUAGAACCUGAAACCGUGUACGUACAAGCAGUGGGAGCACCUUCGUGGUGUGACUGCGUACCUUUUGUAUAAUGGGUCAGCGACUUAUAUUUUGUAGCAAGGUUAACCGAAUAGGGGAGCCGUAGGGAAACCGAGUCUUAACUGGGCGUCUAGUUGCAAGGUAUAGACCCGAAACCCGGUGAUCUAGCCAUGGGCAGGUUGAAGGUUGGGUAACACUAACUGGAGGACCGAACCGACUAAUGUUGAAAAAUUAGCGGAUGACUUGUGGCUGGGGGUGAAAGGCCAAUCAAACCGGGAGAUAGCUGGUUCUCCCCGAAAGCUAUUUAGGUAGCGCCUCGUGAACUCAUCUUCGGGGGUAGAGCACUGUUUCGGCUAGGGGGCCAUCCCGGCUUACCAAACCGAUGCAAACUCCGAAUACCGAAGAAUGUUAUCACGGGAGACACACGGCGGGUGCUAACGUCCGUCGUGAAGAGGGAAACAACCCAGACCGCCAGCUAAGGUCCCAAAGUCAUGGUUAAGUGGGAAACGAUGUGGGAAGGCACAGACAGCCAGGAUGUUGGCUUAGAAGCAGCCAUCAUUUAAAGAAAGCGUAAUAGCUCACUGGUCGAGUCGGCCUGCGCGGAAGAUGUAACGGGGCUAAACCAUGCACCGAAGCUGCGGCAGCGACACUUAGGUGUUGUUGGGUAGGGGAGCGUUCUGUAAGCCGUUGAAGGUGACCUGUGAGGGUUGCUGGAGGUAUCAGAAGUGCGAAUGCUGACAUAAGUAACGAUAAUGCGGGUGAAAAACCCGCACGCCGGAAGACCAAGGGUUCCUGUCCAACGUUAAUCGGGGCAGGGUGAGUCGACCCCUAAGGCGAGGCUGAAAAGCGUAGUCGAUGGGAAACAGGUUAAUAUUCCUGUACUUGGUGUUACUGCGAAGGGGGGACGGAGAAGGCUAGGCUGGCCGGGCGACGGUUGUCCCGGUUUAAGCGUGUAGGGGGAGUGACCAGGUAAAUCCGGUUGCUUAUCAACCCUGAGGCGUGAUGACGAUGCACUACGGUGCAGAAGCAGUUGAUGCCAUGCUUCCAGGAAAAGCCUCUAAGCAUCAGGUAACAUUAAAUCGUACCCCAAACCGACACAGGUGGUCAGGUAGAGAAUACUCAGGCGCUUGAGAGAACUCGGGUGAAGGAACUAGGCAAAAUGGUGCCGUAACUUCGGGAGAAGGCACGCUGGCGUUAGGUGAAAGGACUAGCUCCUGGAGCUGAAGCCAGUCGCAGAUACCAGCUGGCUGCAACUGUUUAAUAAAAACACAGCACUGUGCAAACACGAAAGUGGACGUAUACGGUGUGACGCCUGCCCGGUGCUGGAAGGUUAAUUGAUGGGGUCAGCCGCAAGGCGAAGCUCUUGAUCGAAGCCCCAGUAAACGGCGGCCGUAACUAUAACGGUCCUAAGGUAGCGAAAUUCCUUGUCGGGUAAGUUCCGACCUGCACGAAUGGCGUAAUGAUGGCCAGGCUGUCUCCACCCGAGACUCAGUGAAAUUGAACUCGCUGUGAAGAUGCAGUGUACCCGCGGCAAGACGGAAAGACCCCGUGAACCUUUACUAUAGCUUGACACUGAACAUUGAGCCUUGAUGUGUAGGAUAGGUGGGAGGCCUUGAAGUGUGGACGCCAGUCUGCAUGGAGCCAACCUUGAAAUACCACCCUUUAAUGUUUGAUGUUCUAACUCGGCCCCAUAAUCUGGGGUGAGGACAGUGUCUGGUGGGUAGUUUGACUGGGGCGGUCUCCUCCCAAAGAGUAACGGAGGAGCACGAAGGUUAGCUAAUCACGGUCGGACAUCGUGAGGUUAGUGCAAAGGCAUAAGCUAGCUUGACUGCGAGAGUGACGGCUCGAGCAGGUACGAAAGUAGGUCUUAGUGAUCCGGUGGUUCUGAAUGGAAGGGCCAUCGCUCAACGGAUAAAAGGUACUCCGGGGAUAACAGGCUGAUACCGCCCAAGAGUUCAUAUCGACGGCGGUGUUUGGCACCUCGAUGUCGGCUCAUCACAUCCUGGGGCUGAAGUAGGUCCCAAGGGUAUGGCUGUUCGCCAUUUAAAGUGGUACGCGAGCUGGGUUUAGAACGUCGUGAGACAGUUCGGUCCCUAUCUGCCGUGGGCGUUGGAAGAUUGAGAGGGGCUGCUCCUAGUACGAGAGGACCGGAGUGGACGAAUCACUGGUGUUCGGGUUGUCAUGCCAAUGGCAUUGCCCGGUAGCUAAAUUCGGAAGAGAUAACCGCUGAAAGCAUCUAAGCGGGAAACUUGCCUCGAGAUGAGUCUUCCCUGGGGCUUAAAGCCCCCUGAAGGAACGUUAAAGACUAUGACGUUGAUAGGCUGGGUGUGUAAGUGCAGCGAUGUAUUGAGCUAACCAGUACUAAUGAUCCGUGAGGCUUAACCU